rnacentral:rRNA from 1 species
UGGGUGAGUAACGCGUGGGUAACCUGCCCUUAAGUCUGGGAUACCAUUUGGAAACAGAUGCUAAUACCGGAUAAAAGCUACUUUCGCAUGAAAGAAGUUUAAAAGGCGGCGUAAGCUGUCGCUAAAGGAUGGACCUGCGAUGCAUUAGCUAGUUGGUAAGGUAACGGCUUACCAAGGCGAUGAUGCAUAGCCGAGUUGAGAGACUGGUCGGCCACAUUGGGACUGAGACACGGCCCAAACUCCUACGGGAGGCAGCAGUC